rnacentral:rRNA from 1 species
UACGUAGGUGGCAAGCGUUACUCGGAAUCAUUAGGCGUAAAGCGCAGGUAGGUGGCUUGAUAAGUCUAUUGUGAAAGCUCCCGGCUCAACUGGGAGAGGUCAAUGGAUACUGUUAGGCUUGAGUGUGGUAGGGGAAGCUGGAAUUCCUGGUGUAGCGGUGAAAUGCGUAGAUAUCAGGAGGAACACCUAAGGCGAAAGCAGGCUUCUGGGCCAGCACUGACACUGAGCUGCGAAAGCUAGGGGAGCAAACAGG